CAGGGCGACGAUCGAGGAGGUGGAGGGCGACGUCUGUGAGCUCGAGUCCAAACUAGACAAGCUGGUGAAGCUAUGCAUCGGGAUGAUAGAUGCUGGAAAGGCGUACAACACGGCCAACAGGCAGUUUGUGAACGGGAUUCAGGAGUUGGCACAGACUUCUGCCAAAGAUGUAGUCAUCGAGUCCAGCCUGAGCAAGUUUGCAGAGAAUCUUCAAGAGAUGAUCAGCUAUCACACA